rfam:Drosophila ficusphila unplaced genomic scaffold scf7180000452523, whole genome shotgun sequence
GAGCGGCCGAUGUGAGAAAAUUUCCAGCACAAGCCCAAAAACAAGCAAAGGUAAAUGGUAAAUGCUAAAUGGCAAAUGGGUGAAAUGCUCAAGAAAAUCAAGCCAACGAGGAGCUGCGCCAGAA